GAAACCCGUCUCUUUCAUAUUCGAAUCUUGUAGGUUGGCUUACCUGAGGGUGGUUGACAUAUUGUGUAAGCAAGCACCGACUAACCACUUCCCACACAUUAUGAAGGUCGGACGUACGAUCUGAUUUGAGAUUUGCGGUUGGUGCUCGAGCGAGAUGAUCACAGCACACUGGUGUCUACUCCAAAUUUCACACCUGAGAGAGAAAAAGGUCGUCGAUUUCGGAGUGGCGGUGAACGAACAAGGCCUUGCCAGAGGAUCAAGCGGAGAAAGACGACGGAUCCUCGCCAAGUUCUCCCUACCAGCGACUGAAUACUCUACUGCACGGUGUACCUUCUCUCUGUCUCCCUCCUUGAGUUUGAGCCCUCCUUCAAGACCACCGAUCCUCUCGAAUCUCAAACUAAACUAACUCAUUCGACCGGCAUCACUCAUUUCUAUAAAAUAGGGAUGUCCGGUUGUAGCGUUAAUGACGCGAAAAGAUGUGUCUGCUCAGUGGUCAUUUUGAGGGAGGAAUCUAGGUUUGAUAAAGGAGUACUCCUUGGUCAAGCAUUGAGCUUCAUGAGUGAUCGUUUGGUUAGGAAGAGGGCCGAGGGAUGUCCAAUUGAAAAGUAAAUCAAACGGCGGAGGUGACACAUAACAUGUCCAUUGUUGAGCCCGUGACAGGAUGUCUUUGUCGAAAUCCGAACUCCGACUUUUGCAUUUGGCUUCAACUGACAACAAUGCCUCUGAACGUGAUGGUUUGGUAGAUCUGGAGCGCCUAAAUGGACAUACAAGAAGACGAGCCACACUUAUUCGUCUUUCGGAGAUCAUUUCACUUUUCAGAGUGAGUUGUGGGAAGUUUGUUCUCUCAAGCCAGCCUCAAAAUCGAGAGAGGUCGUCGGAUUUUUUGUCAAGCAACUCAGGCUAAGUAGCACUUUCCUUAUGUACAAGUUGUUUGGAAAGCUGCUCAGGGAGAAGUACAUCAACAUGUGCAACCAUAUUUUUUCAAUGUUGGAAGCCGUCAACUUGGACGUCCAUCGAGAUGUUAAGAAACCACAAACGAACCGAAUCAUUCAUGAUGGCACUAAAAGCGACAGCUUCCUAUAAAAGGAGUUGUGACAACUGGAGAUAUCUUCUUUACCCGAGAUCAUUUAAUGUCAGACGAGGUCGUUCGAUGAGUGAACUCAAUCAAACCGAGUGACUCCGACAGGUCUGCUCUAUGGAUAUUGGAUUCUACGUACGGUUUUUCCCCACGGUCGCCUGAUUUUGGUACCGAGAAGAAGAACUUUAAUCAAAUCCGGAGGAGGGAGAAAAAGAGAGAAAGAGUGAGAGAGAUUGAAAAUGUCAACGAAUAAGCCUUUGGAAGCGACAGAGCGAAGCGACGGACGGACGAAUGGACAUAUGGACGGACGGGCGACAUGUUGUCAAAUUCAAAUUCAUGGCAUUUCCGCGGCAGUAUAUUCAUUUAUGGAUAUAGGCAAAGAUGUCUGGCGCAUGCGUUAUCAACAGCUCAACGAUCAUGUUAUUUAAAUGCAUUUCCGACAUGAUG